rnacentral:tRNA from 1 species
GGUUCUGUAGCUCAGUGGCAGAGCGCAUGCCUUAUAAGCGUGUGACCCAGGUUCGAUUCCCGGCAGAACCACCA